rnacentral:rRNA from 1 species
CCCUUAGAUGUUCUGGGCCGCAUGCGCGCUACACUGAUGCAUUCAACGAGUCUAAAACCUGCUCUGAUAGGGGUGGGUAAUCUUUUGAAUGUGCAUCGUGAUUGGGAUAGAUGAUUGCAAUUUUUCAUCUUCAACGAGGAAUGCCUAGUAAACGCAAGUCAUCAGCUUGCAUUGAUUACGUCCCUGCCCUUUGUACACACCGCCCGUCGCUCCUACCGAUUGAAUGAUCCGAUGAAUAUCAUGGAUUGAGGAUGCAAGUAGGUUCGCCUAUCUUCAUCUUCGAGAAGUGAAGUAAAUCUUAUCAUUUAGAGGAAGGAGAAGUCGUAACA